CGGCGGGGAAAGCACGUGGUCCUCCUGCAGUUUACUGUAAUCUCCAGAAGGACACCAGUCUUCUGUAAACUUCAUGUCCUCCUGUCAUUCAGAUACGGAUAUUCUGGAGAAUAUAGGACAUCACAGAAAACAGCAGAUAUGCUGUGACUGACAAGAACGUGCAAUGGAUACUGGUGUAUUGGACAGCCCUGCAUCCAGGGAAGUACCUCCAUUCCAUCUACCUAAGGCUGGGACACAGUGCUCUGUGUAAUGGAAUGGGCUCCCACCUGUGGGUGGGCAGAUAUCAGCCUGCUUUCUGUGCCCAUUAAGAGCAUUAUUAGCAAUUUUUGUUCCAAUGAAAGACUGACAUUUUCAUAUUUCUCUUAAAACCUGGUGGAGUAAAUUUAUAGGGAAGAAAAAUCCAAAGAUAUUUCAUUUUAGAAAGUUCUAAACUUCAUCAAAAUGACUCAUUUUUUUGGCUUCAAGGUUCACAUUGUCAUUGUAAAUGCAGCAUACAAUGACACUGUUUAAAUCAAACUUUGAAAAAUUA